AAGAGUAUACAUAACUGAAUCGGGAAACAUUAAAUUUUCAUUACAUAUCGUCCGAAUACAUAAAUAGGAUUACAAAAUCCAAGAGAUUAAUACUUAAAUUGAGCUAACAACUGAAAACAUAAAGAAACUAAAUCUUAUAUACAAAAUAUAAGAUAACAUGACGCAGCUCAACUAGCAUAAUCCAAGUAUCUGAACUCCAUGCUUGCAGACCAUGAUAUCUCGAUCAACCUGUUUAUCUGAAAUCAAAUAAGUGGGCGAUGAGAACAGACACUUCGUCUCAGUGGAUUCCUACUAACCAGUUACUAUUGGUGUCUACACCGGGGGCAACCGAUGAACUAAAAGUUCAUUGAUCCUAAUUGUCAGUCUCUAACAUAAUUUCAUAACAUGAUUUCAUAAACAUAAUAAUAUAAAGAUGUAACACAAAUUAAUUAUCUUGUUCAUUUUAACAUAACUAAGACACUCUGAGGUGAGCCGAUCUCAGAGGCCUGACAUAUCUGUCGUCGAUGAUUAUACGCAUCGACACGACAUGAUGCUCACAAUCGUAACAUGAUUGGAUUCCUCGAAUCUCAUAACGUGGUACAUAAGUAACCACCAUGAUUGACUGACUUUCUUAACUUAACUUAAUUAUCUUGAUUGUUAUCCUGCCCAUGAAUUCCCUCCCAGGGUAUUUUUAACUUGUCCUGACUCCUGAUAGGUAAUUUCCCAAAGUGUGUUUGAUGCUAUAAAUAUAGUAUAUUAGUAUAUUGUCUACGGAAAGGUUCCGGAAUGAGUAAGGGUUUAAAACAAGUGACUAAGUUUGAAAAGUAGUAAAUAUGCAGGGUACUGUUCUGCUAUGCUCUCCUAGCGAAGUUAAUUAUCGCUUAACGAAUACACCAAUUCAGUACUCUUCUUUGCAUUUUCUAUAUAUAUUCAUUAAAUUGUCACCUACAAACCAUAUUCAUCCGGUCACAGUCAUUAACCAAUAUCCAUCAUUCAUAGUAGAGGUGGACUUGGGGAUUUAAUCCACCUCACACACAUUAUAAUCCUAAAUUCCUUAAUGUUAUCAUGCAUCAUAAUUUUGGGGAAUAUCUUUAACUUACUUUCUAAACUAGUGUUGUCAUACAUAUUCUUGAUUUGGGGAAACUAAGGUACUAAACUAAGUAGAGUUUAAGGCUCUAAGGGAACCCACCUGAAAAGAAGCUUGAACAAUAUCAGCGACACUUCAAGAGCUCGCCGAAACGCAUAAUUUGCAAGUGAAAUGCUAUAAACCCAUAAUCAAAAUUUUCUGCAUAAUUCUGCAUUAGAGCUCCAACUUCAAAGGCGUCCCCAGCCCUCAAUAUUGAUCCAAAUUAUACUGGCACCAAGACGACGGGAAUUUUGUCGGCUUUCCAGACAUGUAAGUAUUAUUCAAAACGGAUUUACGGUUUGUCAGAUAUGACUCAUUACUGAAGACAGGUCCAAACUCAAAAAUGCAGAAAGUUUUUCUUCCAUUACCAAUCCAAUUCCUUCUUUUCUUUUAUUUAUUCUAACUCCUCUGUUUCUUCAAAAUCCAACCAGUACCAUAUUUUAAACACAAGUUUACAGCUCCAAUCACAACCCAUGAUUCCUUGACCACAAGAAAUUCACAUGCAAGUGCUCCAAAAUAUAAAUUAGUGAGUUUUCAUAACACACCUAAACAAAACAUCAGAGGAAUAGGUGAGAGCUUGAUGAUUAUUACCUUAAUUGAUGGCAGAAUUCCUCACAUGCAAAGUUACCAAAAUCCAAUUCAAGAUAGUAAA
rnacentral:lncRNA from 1 species